UACAGAGGGUGCAAGCGUUGCUCGGAAUCAUUGGGCGUAAAGGGCAGGUAGGUGGUCUCAUUUGUCUCCGGUGAAAUCCUAGGGCUUAACCCUAGAAGUGCCUGAGAAACGGUGGGACUAGAGUGCUGGAGAGGGUCGUAGAAUUCCCGGUGUAGCGGUGAAAUGCGUAGAGAUCGGGAGGAAUACCAGAGGCGAAGGCGACGACCUGGACAGUGACUGACACUCAACUGCGAAAGCGUGGGGAGCAAACAGG
rnacentral:rRNA from 1 species